rnacentral:rRNA from 1 species
UACAGAGGUCUCAAGCGUUGUUCGGAUUCAUUGGGCGUAAAGGGUGCGUAGGCGGCGGGGUAAGUCAGGUGUGAAAUUUCGGAGCUUAACUCCGAAACUGCAUUUGAUACUGCCUUGCUUGAGGACUGGAGAGGAGACUGGAAUUCACGGUGUAGCAGUGAAAUGCGUAGAGAUCGUGAGGAAGACCAGUGGCGAAGGCGGGUCUCUGGACAGUUCCUGACACUGAUGCACGAAGGCCAGGGGAGCAAACGGG